rnacentral:lncRNA from 1 species
UAGUUUUAACAUUAUUUUGAGCAUGGAUUGGUUAGAGGUCUAUCAUGCCAUAAUCGACUAUUGUGAUAAAACUGUAACCCUCUGUUCCCCUAAAAAGAAACAAUCGUAAAGCCAAGGCAAAUAGGAAAUUCUGUUUUGUUUGAAGCUAUAUUUUUGUAAAUAAAAUUGAAAAUUUUAAAUUAAGCAUGUUUAACAUUUUAUAUGAAAUGCAUGACAAAG